UGCAGCCAUGCCGCGUGUGUGAAGAAGGCCUUCGGGUUGUAAAGCACUUUCAGUCAGGAGGAAAGGUUAGUAGUUAAUACCUGCUAGCUGUGACGUUACUGACAGAAGAAGCACCGGCUAACUCCGUGCCAGCAGCCGCGGUAAUACGGAGGGUGCGAGCGUUAAUCGGAAUUACUGGGCGUAAAGCGUACGCAGGCGGUUUGUUAAGCGGAUGUGAAAGCCCCGGGCUCAACCUGGGACUGCAUUUCGAACUGGCGAACUAGAGAUGUGAU
rnacentral:rRNA from 1 species